UGUUGCUUUCACGAUACACAUUUCACAUUUUUAAUAGAGAUAAAUCUCUCAGGCUUGUUCUUGUGCUUUCUUUUAUCUCUUCAUAUUUUGGAAGGGAUCCCUCUGGCCAAGGUGCUCUUGCAUUAUUCUCAAGCUUAUCUUAAUUUUUAUGUUCAACUACUGGGUUCACCUGGAACAUAGUUUAUUGGAUAAUAGAAGACAUAGAUCUGAAUGACCUUUUCUAAAGGUUGUUGGGAAUCUGGUUAUUAAGUAUUUCUCUCCCUAUUGCUCUGUAGUAAUGACUGCAUCCCACAUUCAAAUCACAAAUACAAUUUUAUCAAUUUCUAGAGCUUUUCCUCCUAUUUAAGUCCUAUUUUCCCUUUACCUAGCGAUGCAUAAACAUUCUAACACGGUAUAUAUCUGGGACUAACUUCACCUCAUCACUUUUCUUCUUUAGUCACAUUUCUGGUAUCCUGUGAUUUUCUUUUUUUCAGAACGCUUUAGAAUGAUUUUGUCAAGAGUCUAGCAGAUUUUUUUAAUUUUUAAACUUAUAAAUUAACUUACUAAAAAUUUGCAGUCUUUACAAUAUUCAUUCUUCCAUUCAGGAAAUGUUUCUCUGUUCAUUCAUGCUUCAAGCAUGAAUGUGUUGUAGUUUUAUUUAUGCAAGUCACAGUGAUCCUCUAAUAAUUAAGCUCAUUCCUAAGUAUUUUAUAUCUUUGUCACUAUAGUAAAUGAGAUUUUUUUCAUUAUGUUCUUCUGUCACUUAUUAGUGAUACACCAAAAUCUCUAUUCGAUAGAGCUGAUGUAAGUAACAGCCCUUUGAAGAAUGUUUCUGUAUCUUUGGCAAAACUAUCAUGAAAACAUUGUUCAUGAUGUCAUCUCAAGUACCUUUAAGCAAUAAAUUCCUUCCAGAGGUCAGAAAAAACAAGUCGUCUUUUCUUUUUUCCUAAGACAAACUUAACCCAAUGACAAAGGCUCUCUAAGUCUUUAAUUUUUUGUCUUAGCAGCCAAGAUAUUAAAAGCUUAAGUUCAUGUUUAACUGCAUAAAUGAAUUAAACUUAGAUGGCUGGCACACACAUCUUUCUGUUCCUUUUAAUUGGUUUUCGUUUUAUGCGUAUUUUUAAUUGUCCUAUUUUAAUUCUGUAAUCCACCUCAAAUUGUCUUUGGAGGUAGGCAGUUAGCCUAGGAAGGUUAUGUACCUUAAUAUGCACAUUCACAAGUAAUUAAGCUAUAUGAUAAUUGAAUAGUAUUGUUCAUCUGUUCCUAAUUAUAUAUGCUAAAAACGAAGUAAUCAACCUUUUCCCUUCAGGACACACUGUAAAUCUAUCCCUUUGUAUCCCACUUAAGAAAGCCUCACAGAACAUGAGAGGGAACCCACAGGUCACCUUGAGUCCACUUUAAUUUAAAGACAAAUAUAAUCAUUUUUCAUAAACUUGUGCUACUUCUGACAUUUUUAAUAAGAAAUCACUUAAUGAUACAACUUAAUAACUGUUCAAAGUGGAGCAAACAGCAUGUCAUGGAGACAUAUUCAGGACACACAAGGGUGAGAAGUGGUGAAAAAUAGUUUUGGAGGAGUUCCCUGACAAGGUAAAGUAACUCAUGCACAGUUCCUAAAUAACUUCCGAGGUCUUCAUCAUACCCUUGGCAAAAUUAGCAGCUUAUUAUCCUAAGUUCUGAUCACCCUUUCUUUUUACUCUGUGUCCUCCUGGAAGUCUCUCCUGCCCUUGCCGACCACACCCCUCUAUUUAGCAGGUUCCUACUUCACCUGUUCUAGCACAUCCCUUGUUAUAAUUGUAAAACUGUCCAGUGUUAAGUCUGUCUGUAAAGUCCUUGAGAACAGGGCAAAUGUCUGAUUCACCUUUUAUUUCCAGUGCCUAGCCAGCACCUGGCACUUCCAACCUACUCACACUGGAUCUUAGCUGAACAGAUUGCUCUCUCCCAUCCAAAAGGAGUUUUUUUGUUAUCUUGGCUUUUUUUUUUUUUAAUCAGCAGGGCCUUAGCCACCUCUGCAUGCCCAAACUUGUGCAAUUACUAAAAGUUAAGUAUAAGAACUUAAAUACUGGUUGUUUGCCCACCCACCUUUCUGUACCUUGCUAGUCUAUAGAUUUCUUGGACCACUUUUGGACCUUCAUUCCAAAACCCUUCCUUGGUCCCUGGUCCCUCUUGACCUCUCUGAUACUUCAAAGUCACAAACACCAGUAUAAUGUAUUGUACUGCCUUCAGCCCCUCUCCAGAAAAACAGAGGAUAUCAGUUUCUAAAUAAAUGUAAAUAGCUCUCUCAAUGUGGAAAGAAUCAAGCUUUAGACAAAACACAGCCCCAUCUAUCUAUGAAUGAGCCCCUUUCGACAUAUAAGCAAUGCAUAACCUUCUGGAAAUCAUAAUUAUCCCCUCCCAGUCCAUCUCAUGAAAACCACAAGUGGUUUGAAAUGGUCAAACCCUCCUUUAUAAAUGCGAGCUGUCUCCUUGAGAAACCUUUAUUUCUCAGAAACCUAUCUACUCACAUACUGACAUAUGAUCUGCUGAGUCAUGGUUUGUUUCCAGAUUCUGGGGCCCAGCUCUCAGCCAGUGGUCAAGAUUUUAUUUCCUGUGAGGUCAUCUGUCCACUGGAAAAUCUCGUGUAUCUGGCAAAAUACAGGGACAGAGCUUUCCCUCACAAGGGAGGUUUGCAGAUAAGAGAAUUUCGGCCCCUUUGAUAACAAAGCUUAAAAUGUCUAAAUGCUUUUAGAAAAAACUUUACAAAUAUCAUUCCCAUUACCGCUUUCAUAAAAAGAGAAUGUUGAACAAAACUGUGUCUUGAUAACUGUGAUUGAGUGAUAAACAUAACAAUAGCGGAAGUCAUAGGCCCUAACUUUUCAUGGAAUGCUGCACUCUGACCUCCCUACAUGGGAGUUCCGAUGCCCCUAAUGGGACAUUGAAGGAUAGAGAGCCAAAGUGCAUAUCAUUCUUUGCCACCCUUGACCCAUGGUGCUAUCACCACUGACUUCCCGACCCCCAGCACUAGGCUCCUUACUUUCCUCUUCAAUUCCAUUAUUCUUGGCUUCAACAUUUACAUGAAUAAUCCACCCAACAUCCUGUCCCCACCAUUCUCCUUCUUAACUCUAGAGAUCACAUCUUGCCCUACCUCAGCCUCUCUUCCCAUAGAUCACACAAGUUGCAGCACCCACUCCAGCAUGUGAACCUCACACACGCUGUCCUCUAAGCAUCAUCUCCUACAGUCCAGCGCUCUUAUCCCGCAGUCCAGCUCCCCUCCUACAGAUCCCCAGACAGACCUAUGGUAUCAACCCUAACACACACCCUCUAACUUUGCCUACCUCCUAACCAGCCUGGAUUACAUGAUCUGGCACCAUAAAUGCCUCCCUGCAAACAUAACUCUCCUGCCCCUCCAUUGGUAAAACCCCAACCCUGGUCAAAUACCCUAUGCACUUAUCUCAUGCCUCCACCAGAGCAGCUUAAUGUUGCUGAAGAAAAUCACAGAACAUUGCUGGCAGGGCCGGUUUCAAAUUUAUAAUCAUGUCUCAAAACACAACUGAAUACUGCCAGACGGCUUACUUCCUAGGAAAUUUGUUUCCCCAACUUCUGAGAUAAUUACACCUUCUCUGCUCUCUUCAAGUUUCCAACAUUCCUUCCUCUCUGCUCCCCUCUCAACUAGUGACCUUGCUUUGUACAUCACAGAGAAAAGAGAUGCAAUCGGAUUAGAACGACCUCAUCUUUCAACCAACAGUUCACCAGCCUUCCUAUAUCUGUACUCAAAUACUAUGCCUUCAUUUCUGUUAAAAAGAGAAGAAGAUAGAUGAGAUCUUGUGUUCCACGAUUGGAUCAUCUGUCAUUGUCUUAAAAACAUCGCUCUUACAAUCACCCAUCUUUGCUUUAUCAUUGCUGUUAGCAUUCAAACAUGGCUUAGGGCCUCUUGCAAGGUUGCAGUCUCUGAAGACUAGACAGGGGCUGGAGGACCCUCUGCCAAGUUCACUCACCCUGCUGCCAGCAGGAGGCUUCAGUUCCUUGCCAAGUAAGCCUCUCUGUAGGGUGCUCAGAAUACAACUUUACCCAGAGCAAGUGAUGAGAGGGGGUGGGUGUGAGAGGGGUGGAGGGCCGAGGAGAUCACCAACAUAGAAGCCACAGUCUUUUUAUAACCUAACAUCUGAAGUGGCAUCUUAUCCCUUUGGUUGUGUUCCCUUCAUUAGAAUCAAGUCACUAAAGUCAAUCCUGGGCAUAAGUAUCAGAGAAUUUCUGGUCAUAUUUGUAAAACUAUCACUUUAAGAACUGAAGGUAAUUCUAGAGGGCACCUGGCUGACUUAGUUGGUAGAAUAUGUGAUUCUUGAUCUCUAGGUCAUGAGUAAAAGCCCCGUGUUUGGUAUAGAAAUUACUUAAAAAUAAAAUCUUAAAAAAAAACUUAAGGUAAUUCUAAAUGUGAUACUGAACCAAAAAUAAUCUUCUCAGUCCAGCAUAUAUUUCAAGCUGCCUAUAAGCUAUCCUACAUCCAUCCCAAUAUCACCCUCUCUUCAGCCAAUUCAAACUCUUUAUUAUGCACCUGUUUAUUACUGGAAAAAUUCAUACAUACAAAACCAUGAAUUGACUUAAAUGUUAUGAUAUAAAUAUUUCCAAGUCAUUUUUUCCAUGCCUUACAAAAUUGUGAUUUCAUUCCUUGAGAGCCAAGACCAAGUCUUCUCCCUCAUCUCUGUCCUCCACAGUGCCCAGUAGCUAUAUACAAUCAUGAAUCAUGCAAGCAAGCAAGUCAGCUAGCUAUAGAAAUAAAACCACUUCAAAAUAAAACUAAAUAACAAAAACACUAAUUCAAAGUGAUACAUGCACCCCUAUGUCCAGAGCAGCACUAUUUAACAAAAGUCAAGAUAUGGAAGCAGCCCAAGUAUCCAAGGAUAGAUGAAUGGAUAAAGAAGAUAUGAUCCACACAUAGACACACACACAUACGAAUAUUACUCAGCUCUGAAAUCCUGCCAUUUGGAAUGACAUGGAUGGAGCUAGAGAGUGUAAUGCUAAGUGAAAUAAGUCAGUCAGAGAAAGACAAAUACCAUAUGAUUUCACUCAUAUGUGGAAUUCAAUAAAGAAAAUAAGCAAAGGAAAAAAGAGAGAGAGGAGUCAAGCCAAGAAACAGCUUCUUAACUAUAGAGAACACACUGAUGGUUACCAGAGGGGAAGUGGGUGAGGGAAUGGGUGAAACGAGAUGGGAUUAAGUAGUGCACUUGUGAUGAGGACUGGUUGAUACAUGGAAGUGUUGAGUCACUCUAUUGUGCACUGGAAACUAAUCUCAUACUGUAUAUUGACUAACUGGAAUUAAAAUAAAAACUUUUUUAAAAUGAAAUUAAAUUAAAUAUUAUGAUAUCACUCUUGACAACCAGUUGAUGUUUUCACAAUACUGUUUAAAUCAUAAGGGAUCACUUGGUGUCAGAGCUCUACAGUUCUUCCCUUUCCUCCCUCUGUCCUCCUACAUCCAUGUCCUCCUAUAGCUCAGAACCAUCUGACCUGAAGACUGGGUUCCACUCCAAUCCCUGCAACCAAUGCAGUCUUGACAAUAGACAUGAGAGCACUGGUUAGUCUAAUCCAGGACCCAGUUCCAACUCAACCUUGCAUCCGUAUUCUGAUCACUGGUUUUUACUCUGCUUCUGAACCUACUUUUACCAUUUCUGUUUUUGAUUAACUAGAUUCCUUGUCCUAUAUUUGAGUUCCAUUCUUGAGAGCUGUUUUAAGGAUUUGGAGAUUUCUUUUAAACACGUACGGGAAGAAAAGCAGACCCAGAAAGGACUGUAAUGAAGGAAGGAGUUCUGUACACUCAUGGACCCCUAGCAACCGGAGGCCCAGCAUGCCACACCAGACCACACAGGAAAGCAUCGUUGUCAGGUGGCAGAGGAAGCGAGGUAGAAACUUGGACAAGAGACUUUACUGUGGUUUCUGAGGGAAGGAACGA
rnacentral:lncRNA from 1 species